rnacentral:lncRNA from 1 species
UUUUGAGAUGGAGUCUUGCUCUGUCACCCAGGCUGGAGUGCAGUGGUGGGAUCUAGGCUCAUUGCAACCUCUGCUCACUGCAAUCUCUGCCUCCCGGGUUCAAGUGAUUCUCCUGCCUCAGCCUCCUGAGUAGCUGGGAUUACAGGCACACACCACCACACUUGGCUAAUUUUUGUAUUUUUAGUAGAGACGGGAGAUGGGGUUUCACCAUGUUGGUCAGGCUGGUCUCGAACUCCUGACCUCAUGAUCUGCCUGCCUUGGCCUCCCAGAGUGCUGGGAUUACAGGUGUGAGCCACUGUGCCCGGCCCUAUAUUUGUAAUUUCUUUUCAUUACUGGCAGACUUUCCCCUCAUUUACCUGCAUUGCCUUUAAAUUUCCUUAGUCCAUUUCUCCGCAGCUUUGUAUAGUAACAGUCUGGUCUCUGUACAUGCUCUUCAAAAAUUUCAUCUAUUUAAACUCAUUUUCUUUGUAGGAGGUAAAUGAAUUCUUUUCAAGGCAAUCAACCCCAUAUUUAUUCUGUGAAAAUCCUGGAAAUUCUGGCCAUUUUUAUCAACAUUCUUCCUCAUUUGCUAUGUGUUAGUCUCCAGUGGGGUUUCCAGGUGAACAAGUCCCUAAGGAGCUCAAUCAAGUGGGGAAAGAGUCACACAUAUCAACGUUUCACAGCUAAAAUGAUUUGGUGACAGUGAAUACAAUGUGGAGCACAGAGAACAGAGUGACAAAUAACGGCAUUUUCUGAGGUAAGGGGUCACAGUCCUCUCUUCUCCUUCCCCACACCUACUUAGCAUGAUGCUCCUCUCCUGGCCAGUGUGUCCAAAGAGAUGGAGCUCCCUCUUCCCUCAGAUUCCAAUAAAGCAUUACUGUGAUUGCUUAUUGAAUAGAGGGGCAGGCCUCCAACAUGUCUCACCCCCUCCAGCUCUAAAUGAGAGAGACUAAAUUCAUGGUGAGUAUGGUCAGGAGGUGAGGAGCUCCCUUUUUUCACACAGCCCCUGCUAGUACGAGUUAGGUCCCCAGGUGCAGCUGCCUGAGAAUACUGGAAGCCAAUUGCCUUCACCCAAGCUCACUCAUAGUACAGAGGUUCCAAGCUGGGACAGUCAAGCCAGGAAAACAAGAGGCUACCACCCUGUUCACUGUGCAGAAAGCAACUCAGAGAUUUAGCCCAAGGGGAGAGAAAGUCUAUAAGAAAAAAGAGCUCUGAAGUUCUCCACAAAGAACCUAAGUGUGUUUGAAUAAAUCUUUUAAUUUUGAUAAUGUUUAACAUCUGAAAAUCAAUUAACGUACUAUAGCUCAUCAGUAGAAUUAAGUGACUCCACAUGGUCAUCUUAAUAGAUGCAGAAAAAGCAUUUGACAAAAUUCAAUGCCACUUCAUGAUAAAAACAUUCGAUAAACUAGAAAGAGAAGGGAAUAUUCUCCACUUGAUAAAGGGCAACUACAAUAAAUUCCACAGCUAACAUAUUCAGUGUUAAAAGACUGGGUGCUUUCCCCCUAAAAUUAGGUACAACAGGCGGUUUUCUGCUCUUACCACUUCUACUCAAUAUGGUAUUGGAGAUAGUGUACAGGCAGUAAAAUUUCACUAAAUACUGCUGAUAUGUCCUCCAAAAAUGUUCCAUCUUCAACUACCAUGAAAGUAUUAGAAUGCUUCUUUCUUUAUACCAUCUAAAACAUUAUUGCCUCUACAAUCUGUGAAAAAUGGUUAUAUGUUGCUAUUUUAAUUUGAAUUGCUUUAAUUAUAAUUAAAGUUGGGAAUUUUGAAUUUUUACUUAUUUUUAAAUUUUUUAUUGAGACAGGUCUCACUGUUGCCCAAGCUGGAUUGCAAUGGCAUCAUCCUAGUUCCCUGCAGCCUGGAACUCCUGAGCUAAAGCAAUCCAUCCGCCUUAGCCUCCUGAGUAGCUGGAACUACAGGCAUGUGCCACCACGCCUCAUUUUUGUAUUUAGGUUGGGCAUUUUAAAAUCUG